AUUGAACGCUGGCGGCAGGCCUAACACAUGCAAGUCGAACGAGUGGCGGACGGGUGAGUAAUGUCUGGGAAACUGCCUGAUGGAGGGGGAUAACUACUGGAAACGGUAGCUAAUACCGCAUACCAUCGGAUGUGCCCAGAUGGGAUUAGCUAGUAGGUGGGGUAAAGGCUCACCUAGGCGACGAUCCCUCGCUGGUCUGAGAGGAUGACAAGCCACAUGGGCACUGAGACACGGUCCAGACUCCUACGGUGGGCAGAAGUGGGGAAUAUUGCACAAUGGGCGAAAGCCUGAUGCAGCAAUGCCGCGUGUAUGAAGAAGGCCUUCGGGUUGUAAAGUACUUGCAGCGGGGAGGCGUUACCCGCAGAAGAAGCACCGGCUAACUCCGUGCCAGCAGCCGCGGUAAUAC
rnacentral:rRNA from 1 species